GAUGAACGCUGGCGGCGUGCCUAAUACAUGCAAGUCGAGCGAACAGACGAGGAGCCUGCUCCUCUGACGUUAGCGGCGGACGGGUGAGUAACACGUGGAUAACCUACCUAUAAGACUGGGAUAACUUCGGGAAACCGGAGCUAAUACCGGAUAACAUGUUGAACCGCAUGGUUCAACAGUGAAAGACGGUUUUGCUGUCACUUAUAGAUGGAUCCGCGCCGCAUUAGCUAGUUGGUAAGGUAACGGCUUACCAAGGCAACGAUGCGUAGCCGACCUGAGAGGGUGAUCGGCCACACUGGAACUGAGACACGGUCCAGACUCCUACGGGAGGCAGCAGUAGGGAAUCUUCCGCAAUGGGCGAAAGCCUGACGGAGCAACGCCGCGUGAGUGAAGAAGGUCUUCGGAUCGUAAAACUCUGUUAUUAGGGAAGAACAAAUGUGUAAGUAACUAUGCACGUCUUGACGGUACCUAAUCAGAAAGCCACGGCUAACUACGUG
rnacentral:rRNA from 1 species